rnacentral:tmRNA from 1 species
GGGGGCGCAAAGGUUUCGACGUUGAUGUUGAAGUUUUAUGUGCAUGUCGAGAUUCAGAGUUCUCGUAAAUAAAUCUGAAAAAACUUUAGUUGCAAACGACAACUACGCACUAGCUGCAUAAACCAGCUGGCAUUGAUAAAAUCUCACUUGGAGGGCUUUAUCAAUGACGAUCAUCCAAGUUCGUCAAGACUGUUUGCUCUAAUAGCCUUGAUUAAAUAAAAAUAAGAGCUCGUGUUUAUGGAUACCUUCCUUUCGGUGCCUAAAUAUAAAAUUAAAGAAAGUGAUAAGCAUGUAGAUCAUAAUAUGGAUAGUUAGCGGACGCGGGUUCGAUUCCCGCCGCCUCCACAA